rnacentral:lncRNA from 1 species
GUAAAAACAAUAUUAGGGCAUUUGAAAUGCGCGAGGAAUAAAUCUAAUAAAAGUUUUUGUUAAAUACAAAAAUGUUUAAACAUCGUUCUCUAAUAAUUUAAGUUUUUAGAGUACAACAGUUGUUUCACAUGGUAUCAGAGCAGGAGGUUCUGAGUUCGAGUCACGCCAGGCUUCUAGCAUUUUAAUUUUCUCCCAUUUAAUUCAAGCCCGCAUGGUAUCAGAGCAGUAGGUUCUGAGUUCGAGUCACGCUAGGCUCCUAGCAUAUUAAUUUUCUCCCAUUUAAUUCAAGCCCACGUCAUGGCCGACUAAAAAGUCUCGAGCCCAGACGUGAGGGGGAGUGUUGAAUUAAAUGGGAGAAAAUUAAUAUGAUAGGAGCCUGGCGUGACUCGAACUCAGAACCUCCUGCUCUGAUACCAUGUGAAACAACUGUUGUACUCUAAAAGCUUAAACUGUUAGAGAACGGUGUUUAAGUAUUUUUAUAUUUAACAGUUUUUGAGUUCUUAUAGCUUGCAAUUGACUGGCUU